UGAAAUUCAAAAGGACAUCGUUGGCAAUUUCCUAGCAUUGUGGACACUGUUGUGCAGUUAAUUGAAAUGAAUAAUUGCUGCUACAAGUGAAGUUGACCGACCACCAAAAGGGCAGGAAAGCCGUCUUCUCUGCAAUGGAAAUUGAUUUUUUUUGGAGGCACAACAUGGCUGCGGGCCGGGCCUGUGUGCAAGGAUAACAACACGAUUGUAAUUCCUUGAUAAUUGCAAAGGGCAUGGAGCAACUAAUUGGCCUCUGAUGGCGUGGGUGCAGCUCUAUUAUCUUGGUCUGAAAACACGACUGCGGCGUCCCAUUAUCCUUGUACUUGAACGACUGCAGCUAAGUGCACGUAAUGGAAUCCAAAGACUGGGGGUUCAUUUGGCGAAACUGCAUCGUCUGCUGCCUUGAUUGGGUGGUCCUAACGGCGAUUUUAUGGAUC
rnacentral:lncRNA from 1 species